rnacentral:rRNA from 1 species
AUUCCAGCUCCAAUAGCGAAUACUAAUUCUGCUGCAGUUAAAAAGCUCGUAGUUGGAUUUCGGGCGGUUGACGACGGUUCGCCUCUGGUGUGCACUGCCGUUCUUCCGCCUUUCUGUCGGGGACGUGCUCCUAGGCUUCAUUGUCUGGGACACGGGUUCGACGUGGUUACUUUGAGUAAAUUAGAGUGUUCAAAGCAGGCAUCGCCUUGAAUAUAUUAGCAUGGAAUAGCACGAUAGGACUCUGGCCUAUUUUGCUGGUCUGUAGGACCGGAGUAAUGAUUAAGAGGGACAGUCGGGGGCAUUCGUAUUUCAUUGUCAGAGGUGAAAUUCUUGGAUUUAUGAAAGACGAACUUCUGCGAAAGCAUUUGCCAAGGAUGUUUUCAUCA